rfam:Hordeum vulgare subsp. vulgare, WGS project CAJW01000000 data, contig: morex_contig_1560900
UACAUAUUCCUUCGGUCUCAAAAUUCUUGUCUUAGAUUUGUCUAAAUACGAAUGUAUCUAGUCACAUUUUAGUGUUAGAUACAUCCAUAUAUAGAUAAAUUUAAUAUAAGAAUUUUGGAACGAAGUGAUACUAU